GCACUUCUUAAUCAGCCGCAAGGUCUUUCGGAGGGCCAUGACAUCUGCCUGGUUGUUGUGAUCAGAUCUACUUCCUCAGCUUCAGCCGGCGCAUCUAAUGAGGUUUCCUCUUACACAAGCUAAUCAGGUUAAAAGGUCAAGUGUGGAAUUCGUGCCCUCAGCAUCAUCCAAAAGAAAUGCAAAAAUUAUAAAAACAGGUUUGUCAAACAUUUAAAUUUACAGUAGGAUGUAAA